GGAGGCGCCCUCCCGAAGCGCCACUGCCCAUGCUGACCACCCAGCCCUCCGGCUGCUGAUGUCAUGAGUAACACCACUGUGCCCAAUGCCCCCCAGGCCAACAGCGACUCCAUGGUGGGCUAUGUGUUGGGGCCCUUCUUCCUCAUCACCCUGGUCGGGGUGGUGGUGGCUGUGGUAAUGUAUGUACAGAAGAAAAAGCGGUGAGUGUCCCUGUCCCCCACCCGCCCUAACCCCACACCCGUUCUGAAAUUCCUGCUCAUAGGCUCUGACUUUUCUGUAAGAUGUCCCUCAGCCAUCCUGAUACAAGCCUGAAAUUUGUUUUCCCUGCCCCAGCCUCAGGUUACUCACUGGGGAAAGCCCCUUUGUAGAAUCAGGGUUGUAUUCUUGGAGGUAUAGUGUGUCCCAAAAGGCACCCACUGGAAUUGCCCCUGCCUGGGAAAGGGAGGAGACGAGGCAGCCAGGUGUUUGAUGAGGGUUGGGGGGACCUCCUAGCUGAGUCCCCUCCCCUGCUCCCCAGGGUGGACCGGCUGCGCCAUCACCUGCUCCCCAUGUACAGCUAUGACCCAGCUGAGGAACUGCAUGAGGCUGAGCAGGAGCUGCUCUCUGACAUGGGAGACCCCAAGGUGGUACAUGGCUGGCAGAGUGGCUACCAGCACAAGCGGAUGCCACUGCUGGAUGUCAAGACGUGACCUGACCCCCUUGCCCCACCCUUCAGAGCCUGGGGUCCUGGACUGCCUGGGGCCCUGCCAUCUGCUUCCCCUGCUGUCACCUGGCUCCCCCUGCUGGGUGCUGGGUCUCCAUUUCUCCCUCCACCCACCCUCAGCAGCAUCUGCUUCCCAUGCCCUCACCAUCACCUCACUGCCCCCAGGCCUUCUGCCCUUUGUGGGUGUUGAGCUCACCGCCCACCCACAGGCACUCAUGGGAAGAGGCUUUCCUUCUGGGAUGGGGGCGGCUGGUAGACACCUUUGCUUUCUCUAGCCCUCCUGGGCUGGGCUUGGGCACAAAUCCCCAGGCAGGCUUUGGAGUUGUUUCCAUGGUGAUGGGGCCAGAUGUAUAGUAUUC
rnacentral:lncRNA from 1 species